GUUUCAAUUCCUCAUAGGCAGGCUAUCGGCGGGUCCAGAGAGGGGAGGUGGCUUGCGUGUUUCUCUUG
rnacentral:sRNA from 1 species